rnacentral:rRNA from 1 species
CGCAGCCGCGGUAAUUCCAGCUCCAAUAGCGUAUAUUAAAGUUGUUGCAGUUAAAAAGCUCGUAGUUGAAUUUCGGGGUCAAUAUGUUGGUCGUGCCUCGGUACGUACUAGCAUAUUGGUUUCUCCUUUCUGAAGAACCAUGAUGUCAUUUAUUUGGUGUCGUGGGGAAUCAGGACUGUUACUUUGAAAAAUUAGAGUGUUUAAAGCAGGCUCACGCUUGAAUACAUUAGCAUGGAAUAAUGAAAUAGGACGUUUGAUUCUAUUUUGUUGGUUUCUAGGAUCGACGUAAUGAUUAAUAGGGAUAGUUGGGGGCAUUAGUAUUCAAUUGUCAGAGGUGAAAUUCUCGGAUUUAUUGAAGACUAACUACUGCGAAAAGCAUUUGCCAAAGGAUGUUUUCAUUAAUCAAGAACGAAAGUUAGGGGAUCGAAGACGAUCAGAUACCGUCGUAGUACUUAACCAUAAACUAU